rnacentral:rRNA from 1 species
UACGGAGGAUGCAAGCGUUAUCCGGAUUUAUUGGGUUUAAAGGGUGCGCAGGUUGUUUGAUAAGUCAGUGGUGAAAGUCUGUCGCUUAACGGUAGGAUUGCCAUUGAUACUGUUGGACUUGAAUAUGGAUGAGGUAGGCGGAAUGUGUAGUGUAGCGGUGAAAUGCGUAGAUAUUGGGAAGAACACCGGUGGCGAAGGCGGCUUUCUGGACUGUAACUGACACUGAGGCGCGAAAGCGUGGGGAGCAAACAGGAUUAGAUACCCCGGUA